rnacentral:rRNA from 1 species
CCGCGGUAAGACGUAGGGUGCGAGCGUUGUCCGGAUUUAUUGGGCGUAAAGCGCGCGCAGGCGGUUUCUUAAGUCUGAUGUGAAAGCCCUCGGCUUAACCGAGGAGGGUCAUUGGAAACUGGGAGACUUGAGUGCAGAAGAGGAAAGUGGAAUUCCAAGUGUAGCGGUGAAAUGCGUAGAGAUUUGGAGGAACACCAGUGGCGAAGGCGACUUUCUGGUCUGUAACUGACGCUGAGGCGCGAAAGCGUGGGGAGCAAACAGG